rnacentral:rRNA from 1 species
GAGUUUGAUCCUGGCUCAGAUUGAACGCUGGCGGCAUGCCUUACACAUGCAAGUCGAACGGCAGCACGGGAGCUUGCUCCUGGUGGCGAGUGGCGAACGGGUGAGUAAUGCAUCGGAACGUAUCCUGGAGUGGGGGAUAACGUAGCGAAAGUUACGCUAAUACCGCAUAUUCUGUGAGCAGGAAAGCGGGGGACCUUCGGGCCUCGCGCUCUUGGAGCGGCCGAUGUCGGAUUAGCUAGUUGGUGAGGUAAAGGCUCACCAAGGCGACGAUCCGUAGCAGGUCUGAGAGGAUGAUCUGCCACACUGGAACUGAGACACGGUCCAGACUCCUACGGGAGGCAGCAGUGGGGAAUUUUGGACAAUGGGGGCAACCCUGAUCCAGCCAUGCCGCGUGAGUGAAGAAGGCCUCGGUUGUAAGACUCUUUCGUCGAGGGAAGGAAAGUUAGACACCGGACCGAACUAACCUACGGU